CCUACGGGUGGCAGCAGUGGGGAAUAUUGCACAAUGGGGGAAACCCUGAUGCAGCGACGCCGCGUGAGUGAAGAUGUAAUUCGUUAGGUAAAGCUCUAUCAGCAGGGAAGAAUCAGACGGUCCCUGAGUAAGACGCCCCUGCCAACUACGUGCCAGCCGCCGCGGUAAUACGUAGGGGGCAAGCGUUAUCCGGGUUUACUGGCUGUAAAGGGAGCGUUGACGGCGAAGAAAGUCUUAAGUGAAAGCCCGCGGCUUAACCGCGGAAGUGCUUUGGAAACUUUUUUGCUGGAGUACCGAAGAGGUAAGCGGAAUGCCUAGUGUAGCGGUGAAAUGCGUAGAUAUUAGGAGGAACACCAGUGGCGAAGGCGGCUUACGGGACGGUAACUGACGUUGAGGCUCGAAAGCGUGGGGAGCAAACAGGAUUAGAUACCCGGGUAGUC
rnacentral:rRNA from 1 species